UGAAUACGAGAUGCUACGGCGUCGAAGCAGUCUAUGUCAUACUUCCAAGAAAAGCUUGCACUGUCAUAAACAAAUAAUGCCUGUACCAUAACCGACACAGGUGGGUAGGUAGAGUAUACUAAGGGGCGCGAGAUAACUCUCUCUAAGGAACUCGGCAAAAUGACUCCGUAACUUCGGGAGAAGGAGUGCCUUAUUUUAUAAGGUUGCAAUAACAAGAUCCAAGCAACUGUUUACAAAAAACACAGGUCUCCGCUAAGUCGUAAGACGAUGUAUGGGGGCUGACGCCUGCCCAGUGCCAGAAGGUUAAAGAAGUUGGUUAGCAUCCGCGAAGCUGAUAACUGAAGCCCUGGUGAACGGCGGCCGUAACAAUAACGGUCCUAAGGUAGCGAAAUUCCUUGUCGGGUAAGUUCCGACCCGCACGAAAGGCGUAAUGAUUUGGAUACUGUCUCAGAGAGGGGCUCGGUGAAAUAGACUUGUCUGUGAAGAUGCGGACUACCUGCACCAGGACAGAAAGACCCUAUGAAGCUUUACUGUAACUUGAAAUUGAAAUUGGACUUUACUUGCGCAGUAUAGGUGGUAGGCGUUGAGAAUAUUCUUGCAGGAAUGUUGGAGCCAUCAGUGAGAUACCACUCUUGUAAUGUUAGAUUUCUAACUUUGUAUCAUUAUCUGGUCAAAGGACAGUUUCAGGCGGGCAGUUUGACUGGGGCGGUCGCCUCCCAAACGGUAACGGAGGCGCACAAAGGUUUCCUCUGAACGGGUAGAAAUCGUAUCUAGAGUGUAAAGGCAUAAGGAAGCUUGACUGUGAGACCUACAAGUCGAGCAGGGACGAAAGUCGGUCUUAGUGAUCUGACGGUGCUGAGUGGAAAGGCCGUCACUCAACGGAUAAAAGUUACUCUAAGGAUAACAGGCUGAUCUCCCCCAAGAGUUCACAUCGACGGGGAGGUUUGGCACCUCGAUGUCGGCUCAUCGCAUCCUGGGGCGGUAGUACGUCCCAAGGGUUGGGCUGUUCGCCCAUGAAAGCGGUACGCGAGCUGGGUUCAGAACGUCGUGAGACAGUUCGGUCCAUAUCCGGUGUAGGCGUUAGAAUAUUGAGAGGAGCCUUCUUUAGUACGAGAGGACCGAGAAGGACAUACCUCUGGUGUACCAGUUAUCGUGCCAACGGUAAACGCUGGGUAGCUAUGUAUGGAGUGGAUAACCGCUGAAAGCAUCUAAGUGGGAAGCCCACCUCAAGAUAAG
rnacentral:rRNA from 1 species